rnacentral:lncRNA from 1 species
GUUAGGGUUAAACACUCGUUUUUCUGACAGGCUGGGGAGAACAGCAGAAACAAGCUGUGAAUGAGUCUGGAGAGAGCGGCCGAUGCUGAGCCGCCAUGCUUCGCUCCACGGGCCGCCGCUUUCCAGGUUAUGAGCAUACUUGUGUGCUGUGAGACGGAGCUACUGAGUUCUUUAAUCCAGGGAAUCUCAACCAGUGGGUCUGAUGGGUCACAGACGGCAGGUAAACACCUGUUUAUUCACUGAGUCGGAGAAGGCUGCCACUAAUGUCACUCCACACUGAUCUGUGCUCCACUGAGCUCCACUCUGCCCACGGCUGCCAUUAUGUUAAUUUCUCUAUGAACUUUACUUGUAAGUCUUUCCUAAGUGUGUCUAUGUGUGUGUGUGUGUGUGCACAUAAAUCACUCAGACUUGUGUGCUGUGAGACGGAGCUACUGAGUUCUUUAAUCCAGGGAAUCUCAACCAGUGGGUCUGAUGGGUCACAGACGGCAGAUCCUGUGCAGAUCGUCUCUCGGAGUCUCUCUACAGCCCAAACCGCCCAAAACACUCCCCGUGUCGGUCCAAACAUCAUUUUUCAUCUGAGUCGUUUGACGCGACGGAGCGCUGCUGUUUGUGUGUACAGUGAUGGAGGGCGGCGAGCGGGCGGCACUGACUCCAGACCAGUGACACUGUCCCACGCUCACAGAGUCUAUUGAUCUGCUCUGGAUGGACGGCUGGAGACAAACACGCGGCUUACAGCCGGUUUAGAGCUGGUUCUACGCCGCUAAACUGAACAAAUCUAGAAUGAACUCAAGCACAGCUCUAAACUUCACAACUGACUGAAUCUAAUUCCCUUUAUAUCUUCCUUUCGAUGCUUUAGUGUUGUAUCUGAAGUCUGUUUAAAAGCUUACGAAGCCCUGUACACCCUUAUGAGACAGAGAUUUACACCGACAUGUCUUAAAGUCGACAUUUCCUUCCUCCUCUUGUGUUCCUGUGUGUUUAUGGCCAGAAUGCAUGUGUGUUAGAAACAAAAUUUAGUUUGUUUUACUCAAAUUUAGUUAGUAUUUAGUUUAUUUAAUGAAUAGUAUUCAUUAUUUUAAAUUAGCUUUUCUUUCUGUAUUUUCAGUUUUAGAAAAUGUAUGUCUUUAUUUCAUUUUUGCUUGCUUUAUGUAUGUACUUUCCCCCUCGCCCCAGUACUUUAUUUCAAGUUUGUUUUCCAUCUAAUGUUUUAUUAUAGCUUUAUUUCAAUUAACAAAAAGGUUUCUAGUAGUUUUAGUUAACAAUAAAAACACUGCUGUCUUUAUUUCAAAUUAUAAUAAUUAUUCAGAAAAUCUUGACUGCUUUGAACAAAUUGAAUCAGUGAGUUAUCUGAUUCAUGAACACAUCAUUCAGACUGCUUUUGUGACUAACUGAUUCACUGAAAAGAUCCAGCUCAAAAGAAUGAUUCAUUGUCUUUGAUUCAGUGAUUCAAGUCUCUUUACUGUCAUUGGUGGUCCGCUGAAUGCAUCCUUGCUUAAUUUCAUUUAAAAGAAAAGACCACAAACUUUUGAACAGUUGUGUAUUUUUAUCACAGAAUAUAUUAAUCUUUGUUAAUGUUAAUCAAUAAAAUAAAAUUUAAUAAAUGCUGUAUUGUUAGUAUUGUUAGUUCAUGUUCAGUAAUAUAAUGAAUUAGAUCUUAUUGUGACAUUGCCAUUUCUCUCAUGAACUCUCAUCAAU